UACGAAGGGGGCUAGCGUUGCUCGGAAUUACUGGGCGUAAAGAGCUCGUAGGGGGUUUGUCGCGUUGUUCGUGAAAACUCACAGCUUAACUGUGGGCGUGCGGGCGAUACGGGCAGACUGGAGUACUGCAGGGGAGACUGGAAUUCCUGGUGUAGCGGUGGAAUGCGCAGAUAUCAGGAGGAACACCGGUGGCGAAGGCGGGUCUCUGGGCAGUAACUGACGCUGAGGAGCGAAAGCGUGGGGAGCGAACAGG
rnacentral:rRNA from 1 species